AUUGAACGCUGGCGGCAGGCCUAACACAUGCAAGUCGAACGAGUGGCGGACGGGUGAGUAAUGUCUGGGAAACUGCCCGAUGGAGGGGGAUAACUACUGGAAACGGUAGCUACUACCGCAUACCAUCUGCUGUUCCCAGCUGGGAUUAGCUAGUAGGUGGGGUAAUGGCUCACCUAGGCGACGAUCCCUAGCUGGUCUGAGAGGAUGACCAGCCACACGGGAGCUGAGACACGCUCCAGACUCCUACGGUAGGCAGAAGUGGGGAAUAUUGCACAAUGGGCGCAAGCCGGAUGCAGCCAUGCCGCGUGUACGAAGAAUGCCUUCGGGUUGUAAAGUACUUUCAGCGAGGAGGCGUUACUCGCAGAAGAAGCACCGGCUAACUCCGUGCCAGCAGCCGCGGUAAUGC
rnacentral:rRNA from 1 species